AGAGUUUGAUCAUGGCUCAUAUUGAACGUUGGCGGCAGGCCUAAUACAUGCAAGUCGAGCGGUAACAGAUCGCUAGGAUCCCUUCGGGGUGACUUUGAUGCUGACGAGCGGCGGACGGGUGAGUAACGCGUAGGAAUCUACCCAGUAGCGGGGGAUAGCCCGAGGAAACUCGGAUUAAUACCGCAUACGCCCUUUUCUCUUCGGAGAAUUGGGGAAAGGGGGGGAUCUUUUCGGAGACCCCUCACUAUUGGAGGAGCCUGCGUUGGAUUAGCUAGUUGGUGAGGUAAAGGCUCACCAAGGCCACGAUCCAUAGCUGGUCUGAGAGGACGAUCAGCCACACUGGAACUGAGACACGGUCCAGACUCCUACGGGAGGCAGCAGUAGGGAAUAUUGUGCAAUGGGGGAAACCCUGACACAGCCAUGCCGCGUGUGUGAAGAAGGCCCUAGGGUUGUAAAGCACUUUCAGCGGGGAGGAAUGCAGCCGAGUUAAUACCCUGGUUGAACGACGUUACCCGCAGAAGAAGUACCGGCUAACUCCGUGCCAGCAGCCGCGGUAAUACGGAGGGUACGAACGUUAAUCGGAAUUACUGGGCGUAAAGCGCGCGUAGGUGGUUUGUUAAGUGGGAUGUGAAAGCCCCGGGCUCAACCUGGGAAUUGCAUUC
rnacentral:rRNA from 1 species